rnacentral:lncRNA from 1 species
UGGCUGUGGCUGUGGUGUAGGCCAGUGGCUACAGCUUCGAUUCGACCCUUGGCCUGGGAACCUCCAUAUGACACUGGAGCCGCCCAAGAAAUGGCAAAAAGACAAAAAAAAUUUACUUGACUGAAGUAGAGUUGAUUUACGAUGUUGUGUUAGUUUCAGGCGUACAGCAAAGUGACUCGUGUAUUUGUGUGUGUGUGUGUGUGUGUACACGUAUAUCUGAUGUGUAUGUAUAUACACACACAUCCUUUUUCAUACUCCUUUCCAGGGUGGUUUGUCACAGGAUGCUGAAUGUAGUUCGCUGUAGGGCAGGAGCCUGUUGUUUGUCCAUCCUGCAUACGUCUGCCUCUGCGAGACCCAAGCUCACUCCCAGUCCUUCCCUGCCCCACCCGCCUCCCCUUCGGCAGCCACAAGUCUGUUCCCUCUGUCCCAGAGUCUGCUUCUGCCUCGUAGACACGUUCGUUUGUGUUGAGUGUUUGUGAAGUUUCGUUAGAGUUGCUUUACGCGGGUGUGAUCAUGUCCGCUCUGCAACAACGUGAUUCAGGGACCCCUGUACCCACAGCCUUUCUCUCCCAGAUUCUCUUCCCACACAGAGGAUCCCAGAAUAUCGGGUAGAGGUCUCUGGGCUGCACGGCAGGUCCCCACUGGCCAGGACAACUCAGCGUACAGAUGCCAGUCCCAAACCCCAGGCUAUCUCUCCUCCCCCACAACUGUCCGCUUUGGUAACCGUACGCUUGUUUUCGAAGUCUGCCUGUCUGUUUCUGUUCUGCAGAUCAGUUUGUGCCACAUUUGAGACGCCACGUAUAAAUGAUAUCAUGUGACAUUUGUCUUCCACUGUCUGACUGACCUCACUUAGCAGGAGCAUCUCUAGGUCCGUCCCUGUUGCUGCAAACGGCAUCAUUUCACUCUUUUUACGGCUAACACUCCAUCGUGUAUAUGGACUACGUCUUCUUGAUCCAGUCCUCUGUUGAUGGACGUUUGGGGUGCUUCCAUGUCUCAGCUGUUGUGCAUAGAGCUGCAGUGAAUACUAGGGCGCACGUAUCUUUGUGAAUUACUGGUUCCUCCAGAGAGAGGCCCAGGCGUGGGAUUGCUGGUGGCAGUUCUGGUUUUAGUUUUUGCGUCCCCUCCGUACUGUUCCCCACAGUGGCAGCACCAGGUGACCUUCCCACCAGCAGUGUAGGUAGGUGGUUUUCUGAUCCCUGGCCUGGAGGACGAGAGUCCAGAGGGAAAGAGAAACUUUCCAUCCCCUCUUCCCUUCCGUGCAGUUCACGGGAUCCACAAACAACGCCUCCGGGAGAGGAACUGUUUUUAUCCUCAACACACUGAGUUGGAACUGCUAUUAAGAAAACUGCACAAGAACCCAGCUGGGAAGUGAAAGAGCCAAAACGCACUCCCACGCCGCGUUACUCCACAGCCUGCUCACUGCCACGUGUUACUACCCCACGGCUACGGGCGAGGGCUCGCUGCCUGGGGGGCACGGCAGCCAGCACCGCAGGCCCAGCUUUUGAGGAAAGAGGAGGCUUUGUUGCCAGGCCCAUGGCCAGGAAACAGGAGGCAGGGCUUCCAUCUGUCUUUCCCGUCCAGGGUUCAGGGUAAAAUUUAAGGGGUUCAGGGGACUUCAGACGUGGAAGCCAAUGGGCUCGUCUCAGUCUGUAGAAGCUGCUGGACGCCAGACUUUCCUCAUUGAAGGACGUCUCCCUUCCUCAAGGGCCCUGCCUGUAACACUUGCAUCCUUUGGGUCGCAGACUGAAGAGUCUUGGUUCCAGGGUCCCCUGAGAACGUGGGUUCCCAGGCUGGGGGUCCAAUCAGAGCUACAGCUGCUGGCCUCCACCACAGCUCACAGCUACGCCAGAUCCGAGCCUUGUCUGUGACCUAAACCACAGCUCACAGCAAUGCUGGAUCCUUCACCCACCAGAGGCCAGGGAUCAAACUUGCAUCCUCAUGGAUCCUCGUCGGCUUCAUUACCACAAGGGGAACUCUCUCGGGUCUCAUUUUAAAACCCAUUCCUGUUGAUGGAUGAGGUCUACGUAUAUCCUCAGGUGUCUUGAGGGACUUGUGAUCCCCCCGCUUCCCCCCCCACCACACACACACACAGCCCUUCCACACGGAUGGCCGGUUGGGGCUGGAGAAACACAGUUCCCUCCAUCUCUUCAGCACCCCCCACCAGGGGGUGAGAAGCAGCCCUGAGUGUGCAAGGACCUCCCCACCCCUCCGUGUUCGUCUCUCUCCCUUCAUCCUCUCCAUCCCCUGCGUCCAGGACACCUCCGAGCCCUCUCCCUGCACUGUCCCCGCUGAUGAGCAGCAAAACCCCUGGCUGACCACGCUGCCUCCACACCAGCCCUGGACGACUUUCUCCUUUUUAAAAAUCUUCCGCCAUGUUCACUUGACCCAAGGAACCCUUGUGUGACCACGUCGAAGUUUCAUCGGCAUCCCAAGGACAAGCCCCGCGCUCCAGCCUCCGACUCGCUGUGCGGGGGUCUCGGGUGUGCCUCGCAGUGACAGCGCUUCUCCGUCUGAAAGUUACCUUGAUCACAUACCCUUGACACAUUUCAGGAUUUCUUAUGAUCGACGGUGGCGAGAGAGGUUGCCGGCAGCCAAGCGUCCCAAACACACCUUGAAAUGUUCCCAUAACUAGUCGAGUCUGUUUUCCGAAUUGAUUUUACGCCGUUAAGAUGGAAUCAACUGCAAACAUCCCACCCUGUCCGUUGCUGAGCUACAUCUCACGGCAGGGGCAGGUCUUGUCGUGGUGGGGGUGGGUCCUGUGGCGGGGACGGGUCUUGUCACAGUGGGGAUGGGUCUUUUCAUGGCGGGGACGGAUCUUGUUGUUGUGGGGACGGGUCUUUUCAUGGCGGGGAUGGGUCCUGUCAUGGUGGGGACGGGUCUUCUUGUUGUGGGCAUGGGUCCUGUCACAGUGGGGACGGGUCUUUUCAUGUCGGGGAUGGGUCUUGUUGCGGGGAUGGGUCUGGUCACAGCAGGGAUGUGCCAGGGGUUGCAGAUAAAGGGCACUGGUCAGCUUGUAGAUGUUGUGCGUAUGGAGCUGCUGUAUAUAUACCCUUGCAUUCACAUUUUUCUCAGUGUAAGUCCUUUUUUGUAGAUUGAACAGCUCAGAGUGGGAAAUUUGGGUCAAACGGUAAAAGUGUGUUUAAUUAUAAAAGAGAGGGACCAGAGUUCCCUGGUGGCUCAGCGGGUUAAGGAUCCAGCGUUGUCACUGCAGUGGGUUCGAUCUCUGGCCCUGGAACCUCCACAUGCUGCAGGCACGGCCAAAAGAAAUUUUUUAAUAAAAAAUUUUAAAAAGAGACAGACUGUCUUCCUGGUGGAUGCGCCAUUCCACACCCCUCAGCAGCGGUGGGAGUUGCAGCUGCCCCACAACCCUUGGGAGGGUCAGUGGUGCUCCCGAGGCUCCCAGAGGCCAUGUGAUGUCUGACUGCACCCAGCUUCAGUCCUCCCGGGGCUGGUGAUGCAAACCUUUUCAAGUGCCUCCCCAGACCCUUCCUGGUGAACCGUCUGUGCAAGUCUCCUUUUUCAUUUUCUGAUUUUGAUUUCAGGCUGCACCCAUGGCAUGUGAAAAUUCCCAGGCCAGGGAUCAAACCCUCAUCACAGCAGUGACCUGAGCCUCUGCUGUGACAACAUCAGACCCUUAACCCUCUGUGCCACCAGGGAACUCCUGCAAGUCUCUUUUUUUUUAGAGUAAAAGUGUAUAUAUGUAAGGAGUUCCCAUCGUGGCGCAGUGGUUAACGAAUCUGACGAGGAACCAUGAGGUUUCGAGUUCGAUCCCUGGCCUUGCUCAGUGGGUUCAGGAUCUGGCGUUGGCAUGAGCUGUGGUGUAGGUCGCAGACGCGGCUUGGUUCCCGUGUUGCUGUGACUGUGGUGUAGGCCGGUAGCUACAGCUCCGAUCAGACCCCUAGCCUGGAACCUCCAUGUGCCGCGGGUGUGGCCCUAGAAAAGGCAAAAAGACCACAAAAAAGUGCACAUAUGUAAGGUGUACAGCAUGAGUUGUUAUACACACACAUAGUGAAAUGAUUACCACACUAAUUCACAAACACAGUUGCCCUUGAGAGCCCCUGAAAUCUCCCCUCUGAGGAAAUGUCCAGUAUUCCCCACGCUGUUAUUAACCGCAGUCACCGGGCUGCACGCAAGCUCUCUCGACUCACGCACCCCACAGACCUUCAGCCAUCCUCCCCCCCACAACCGCAGUUCUACCCCCGGCUUCUAUGCAUUUGCCGUUUUCAACUUCCACGGGUGUGAAAUCUUUUUUUCUUUUUCUUUCUGUGCCUGGCUUAUGUAAUGUACCCUGCUGUCCUCCAAGCUCACCUGUGUUUGUUUCAAAUGGAAGGACCCCUUUCCUGUUUAAGGCUGCGUCAUAUUCCAUCGUACCUGGACCCCACCAUUUCUUUAUCAGUUCGUCUGUCUGUGGACACGUAGGCUGUUCGGGUCUUUUGCCUGCUUGCUGACUGGCUCAUUUGUCUUUAUGCAGAGAUGUCUUUGUUCCUCUCCCCUCACUGAUUUUAUGAGUAAGCACAUGGAAGCACAGAGAGGUUAAGUGACUUGCCUGAAUAUGCACAGCUGAUAACCAGCAGAGCCAGAAAACAGGAAUCCACGCCACCUCCUUGGUGGGAAGAACAGCAGAGAGGAGAGAGGCCCUUACUCCUUGUGAGUGUGUGUGUGUGUGUGUGUGUGUGUGUGUGCACUCAGUUCUGACUUUUACAAACAUGCGGCCAUUCCAUGUUCUGAGACACGCUCCAGACACGGAUUGUUCAAGGAUCUCCACAGGGCCUGGCCGGUACCCACCUCGGGGCCUUUGCACCUGCUAUGCCCUCAGCCAGGAAAGGGGAAGGACUUUCUCUUUCCCGUCAUCCCCUUCUCAUGUCAAGUCUCAGCCCCCACAUCACAGCCUCCGAGGGCCAUGUCCAAACUUACCCUCUGGGGUUGGCUCAUUAAGCUGCUGACCGCCCCUCUUUCCAAGGCGGGUUUAAACUCUACGUGCUCAGGCAGCUUGUUCAGGAUGGGUCAUCCUUCAUCCACCACUGGCUCCCGGGAGGGAGGGACCUGGGUGGGCCUGGCCUCACCAGGUGAACCUUCCAAAGCUGAGCCUUGGCUCAGACUGGUCAGCUGCUCCCAGAGAAACACAGAGACAGGGUCCCGCCGGCCUGGACGAGGAAGAAGCAGCUGCGGUUGUGUGCAUCCCUGGAGGAGGACGCAGCCCCCCUCGGACAGGCAGAGAGACGACUCGCCCCCGAGCCCAGCAGCCGCAGGGGAAGGUCUGCCUGCAGCCAGGCGGGGGCGUGUGCGCGCACAUGCGCGUGUGUGCCCUCGGGUAAGGCCCCGGCCUGGAGAACACGGUGACCGACUCAGCGACCCACGCACGGGACCCUGAGCCGGGAAGCCGGCAUACGGUACCCUUUGUGCCGCCUUAAGCGGCUGAGUCGGUGGUGACUUGUGACACAGCAGCAGAAAACCAGCCCGCCUUCCACGGGCCAUUCCACGGACACUGCCUGACCUGCUCACGGCUGCCCCCGAAGCCCCCACGCAGGGCGGAGGCGGGGGUCCAGGAGGUCUGCUCGGCCCCCCUCGCACCCCCAGACCCUCGUGAUGGGGGCUUCCGUUCUCGAGUUAGAGGGAACGCUUUGGGGCCAUCGGUGAGUUAUGGGACCAGCCGGGUGUCACAGACCUGGUCCCCAGCCUGGCUUUGCUCCUUCUGGCUGGUGUCAGAAGCUCUGUGACCCCAAGCGGUUCCUUCAUAAAGUGGGGCCCGUUCAGUGCCUUCCCCGUGGGCUCGUGGAAUUGAAUAACUGGAUCUGUUUCUAAAGCACUUGGCACAGGGUCUGGAAACGCCGCCGACCUGUUACCUGAAGUCACUGCAUCCAGACCUGCCCUCCCACAUGUAUAACAUCUGUGCCAGGGCACACGCAGGCGCUGUUAAAUGUCUCUCUCACAUACACACACACACAGAGUCCCAAACAGACACCCUCCCCCUUCCAAAGCCCAGAUCAUCAGCAUUUGUUCAGUAGGCACGUCAUUGACACUGAGCAGCCUCAAGACGCUGUGCAGGACGCAUAGGGCAGCAAACUACAUCCUUGCAAAAUACAGCUGCGAAAUGACCGAUUCUCAAACGGUAGAGGGAACACUGCUUAGACACAGAAGGCAGCGGUACAUUUGCCAGACAGAUGGGGAGCGUCGGCGGGUCCCUCCCUGCUCUGGAAAGCUUGCUCGCCCGCGCGCGCGCGCGCUGUGCGUGCCAGGCUGCGUUCAAGAGCACCGUUCCCAUCCCCUGGUUGGAAUCUAGCCUGGCUUUCAGCUCGGUGGAAAGGCCGUGGGAUUCUGGAGAGCGGAGGGUCUGUCCUGGCCGCUUGGCCUCGGGUGACAAUUCUUUUUGUUCGAAUCUAAGCAUGGUUGCUCGACAGCCUUGUGCCGGUUUCUGCCGCACAGCAUAGUGACCCACUUGCACACAUGCACACACUCAUUUUUUCACACUGUCUUCCAUCGCAGUCCCUCCCAAGAGACUGGACACGGUUCCCCGUGCUGUACAGCAGGACCUCAUCGCCUAUGCAUUUCCUGUGAAGAUUCUAACGGCUUCUCGCCAUCUGUCCAUAUUCACUGGGGCCCGUCCUGGGUUGAAGGGAGUGAGGCUCUCGGCUUGGGUACAAAUUUUAAGUGUGGGGGUGAGGAGAGUGCAGACAUCUCAGUGAUCAAGAGAGAUAAUUUUUUUUUUUUUGGUCUUUUUAGGGCCACACCUGCAGCAUAGGGAGGUUCCCAGUCUAGGGGAAUCCAGCUUGGAAUCAGAGCUGUAGCCACCAGCCUACCCCAGAGCCACAGCAAUGCCAGAUCCGAACUGCGUCUGCGACCUACACCACAGCUCACAGCAACACCGGAUCCUUAACCCACUGAGCGAGGCCAGGAAUGGAACUCGCAACCUCAUGGUUCCUGGAUGGAUUCUUUUCCAAUGUACCACGAUGGGAACGCCAAGAGAUAAUAUUUUAAUGCAGCGUUUCCUUAAAAUUUCCCAGUUAAAAUGGUGGGAAAAAUCAACGAGGAAGAAAUGCCCACAUGUUAACGGAAGACGGGCUCUCGCAGGGCUGCGAGUAGGGCAAGGUGAGGCGACGAGUCCUGCAAAGCUCAGGGUGGAAAUGUUGAUGUUGCGCUCCUCACGGACUGGAGGCAUUAUCCUUUCUUUUUUAAGCAAACGGCACUGGCACCGGGGCCUUCUCGUGGCUCAGGAGCCUGAGAAUCAGGCAUGAUCCCUGCAGCAGUUCCCUUCGCUGCUGCAGUGUGGCUGCGCGACCUGGCCGGGGACUUUCGCGUGCCUCUGCUGCGCAGUAUUGCCCUGAGUCCUGAGGACUCGGCUUCCCUUACGUGGUGCGCCCAGGUGAACACCUCGGGGGCCCGCCAGCCCCUCCCCCCGCAGCAUCUCUGAUCCUUUCUCUCUGUCCCCACCGUGAAUACCCUCGUUCUUUCCACCACCGCGUCUGGCUGGAGCCGGCACAGCAAACUCCCCGCCACCUGCUGCAUCCUGGUCUGGACACGACCUCCAAGCUGCUGGCACUGAAACUCGGGGUGACUUCCUCCGCAAACCCUCCCCCCAAAGCCCACUCCCAUCAUCCUCUCCCACCGUCUAGAUGUCUCCCCCCUGCCUCCCCCACCCCCAUCCCCACCAUCGCCCAGUUUGGGUUAUAGCAACUGAUGCUGCUAUUUUCUCACCUCUUUUCAGUUCUCUGCGCCAUUUCCCAGGGUGGGGGACCGGUCACACAAGUGUGAUGUCAUUUCAGAUGGUCCGGCUCCAAGGACAAUUAAACUUUACCAUACAAUGUUAUACCCUUGGGAGUUCCCGUGGUGGCUCAGUGGAUUAAGAACCCGACACAGUGUCUGCGAGGAUGCGGGUUCAAUCCCUGGCCUCGCUCAGUAGGUUAAGGACCUGGCACUGCCACAAGCUGUGACUUAGAUAACAGAUGCGGCUCGGAUCCCGCAUUCCUGUGGCUGUGGUGUAGGUGGGCAGCUUCAGCUCCCACUCGACCCCUCGCCUGGGAACCUCCAUGUGCUGCAGGUGCCACUGUAAAAGGAAAAAAAAAAAAA